GAACGCGAAGAACCUUACCAGGUCUUGACAUUGAUGGACAGAACUAGAGAUAGUUCCUCUUCUUCGGAAGCCAGAAAACAGGUGGUGCACGGUUGUCGUCAGCUCGUGUCGUGAGAUGUUGGGUUAAGUCCCGCAACGAGCGCAACCCUAUCUUAUGUUGCCAGCACUUCGGGUGGGAACUCAUGAGAGACUGCCGCAGACAAUGCGGAGGAAGGCGGGGAUGACGUCAAAUCAUCAUGCCCCUUAUGACCUGGGCUACACACGUACUACGAUGGGAGUUAAUAGACGGAAGCGAAACCGCGGGGUGGAGCAAACCCGAGAAACACUCUCUCAGUUCGGAUCGUAGGCUGCAACUCGCCUACGUGAAGUCGGAAUCGCUAGUAAUCGCAGGUCAGCAUACUGCGGUGAAUACGUUCCCGGGUCUUGUACACACC
rnacentral:rRNA from 1 species